rnacentral:lncRNA from 1 species
UCUGUGUGAACAUUUUUUUUUUGAUAAAAACAAAAUGGUAUUCAUUCAUUCAAAUUGAUAGAUUACAUCAAAUACAAUCACAUAAUCACUAUCGCAAAAAACGUAAAGGAUGAAUCUGCAACAAAACUCACAACAUCUGAGUUAAUAGCAUACAACGACAAAAUGCCUACAACAAAUAAUAUGAUAAAGUUAAAGUCACCGGAAUAUCCACGUCUCCGUAUCUUUAGUGUUGAUGUCCAAAUCAUUGGUUGAAGCUGUAAUUAACUGAAGCCGGUCAUUCAAUAGAAAUCAAAUGAACACCGCGACAAUACGGAAUAACAAAAGCAUCGCACAAGACGACCAACAACACAACGCCACACUCAGACGACGAAAUCACAAAAAACACAAAAGAAAAAACUUGAUCAAUAUAAAGAUCACUUAUUUAUAUUAAAAGAAGAAGAAAAAAAAACAGAUGUAGAUGGGUGAUUCUACAUCAAAAAUGAUCUAAAACCACACCGAUGAAUAAAGGAGAAGAGUGUCAGUUUCCCAAUGGAAAACUAGGGUCGGCCAGUCCAAAAAUACAUGAUUUCUGUGUGAACAUCAAAUGCUAAGAUUUAUAAAAAAAACGUAAUCUAUCUUGCAAACAAUGCGUUCAUUUCAAGAGUUGUACUUGCAUUGCGUAUUUGAUAAUCCUUUCAAAAUAAAAAAAUGCAAGGUUCAUUAAAUUAAAGAAUUUUUUUUUUUUUUUGGUGAUACAGAAAAUAAAUACAUUACUGGAUCAGUACAAUAACUAAAUGACAACUCAUGGAAUAUUUUACCAUAAUGGGUUUAGUUUUGAAACCCAUUCACAUUUGUGAAGAAUGCACAUUAUCUCAUAAUAGUAGUCUGAAGAUUUUGGACAAUCGGCAUCUGUUUCACAUACCAUAGGUGCUGUAAUGAAAAAAGAUACGAAAAUAAUGUUUCUAAUAUCUGAUAAAACACUAUGUAUAGACUACAAAGCAAAUAAGUUUUUUUUUUCAGCGCCAGUAUCCGGUCCAUUUGACCGCCUAAUCUAGUUCGAGGUCAGUUCGAACAACAAGUGGUUUCAGCCUCCUCCCAAUCGCAGUUGCGAGGGAUCGAACCGUGGUCCAUCCUACUAAAUUCAGCGCCAAUCAUCACUGGACCAAACUGAUGAUUGGUGCAAAUAAGAAAAAUUUGAUAAAGAUGAAAAAAUGACUUACAAUUAAGUCCUUCCGUCGCAACAAUAAAUAUGAAAAAAAAUAGUAUUAUAUAAUACACAAACUUGAGAAU